GAUAUAUAGCGAAAGCUGGUUGUAUUAACUGUUAGUUAAUGCGGCAUCGACUACGUCGAAUAAAGUUCUAGGUAGAGUUAUGAUAAUGACAUUUUCUAUCUAUGUGUCUUGACCAACACACGUGCCAGCAGUCGCGGUAAGACGUGAAAGACUAGUGUUAUUCAUCUUUAAUGGGUUUAAAGGGUACCUAGACGAUAAAUUAAGCCCCUAAAGGGUACUAAUUUACUAGAGUUUUAUGCGAGGGGGGGUGUACU
rnacentral:rRNA from 1 species